AGUGAACGCUGGCGGUAGGCCUAACACAUGCAAGUCGAACGGCAGCACAGUAAGAGCUUGCUCUUACGGGUGGCGAGUGGCGGACGGGUGAGGAAUACAUCGGAAUCUACUUUUUCGUGGGGGAUAACGUAGGGAAACUUACGCUAAUACCGCAUACGACCUACGGGUGAAAGCAUGGGAUCUUCGGACCUUGCGCGAUUGAAUGAGCCCAUGUCGGAUUAGCUAGUUGGCGGGGUAAAGGCCCACCAAGGCGACGAUCCGUAGCUGGUCUGAAAGGGUGAACAGCCACACUGGAAAUGAGGAAAGGUCCAGACUCCUAAGGGGAGCAACAGUGGGGAAUAUUGGGCAAUGGGCGCAAGCCUGAUCCAGCCAUACCGCGUGGGUGAAGAAGGCCUUCGGGUUGUAAAGCCCUUUUGUUGGGAAAGAAAAGCAGCAGGUUAAUACCCCGCUGUUCUGACGGUACCCAAAGAAUAAGCACCGGCUAACUUCGUG
rnacentral:rRNA from 1 species